AGCCUUAAGAUUAUAUUUAAGGUAAUGCCUGCCCAGUGCUAAAGUGUUAACGGCCGCAGUACCUUGACUGUGCUAAGGUAGCAUAAUCAGUUGGCUUUUAAAUGGAGUCGGGAAUGAAUGGAUUUAUAGGGUAAAGCUGUCUCUUUUAUAUUUUAUUGAAUUUAAUUAUUAGGUGAAAAUACCUAAAAUUAAGAAAAAAGACGAGAAGACCCUAGGAGUUUUUACUAAUGGUCAAUUUAAGUUGGCCUCUGGUUUUUGUUGGGGCGACAUAGGAACAAACAACUUCCUUAUUUUAUAGGCCGACUACGUAUGAAUAAUAAAACUACCCUAGGGAUAACAGCGUAAUUCUUUAUGGAGCUUGCGACCUCGAUGUUGGACUAGGAAUUUGAUUGGCUAGCCGCCACUUUAUAUUGUUCUGUUCGAACUUAAUUUCCU
rnacentral:rRNA from 1 species